GCCUCGGUAGCUCAGUCGGUAGAGCAGAGGACUGAAAAUCCUCGUGUCGGUGGUUCGAUUCCGCCCCAAGGCACCA
rnacentral:tRNA from 1 species